UUUUAUGGAGAGUUUGAUCCUGGCUCAGGAUGAACGCUGGCGGCGUGCCUAAUACAUGCAAGUCGAGCGAACAGAUAAGGAGCUUGCUCCUUUGACGUUAGCGGCGGACGGGUGAGUAACACGUGGGUAACCUACCUAUAAGACUGGAAUAACUCCGGGAAACCGGGGCUAAUGCCGGAUAACAUGUUGAACCGCAUGGUUCUACAGUGAAAGACGGUCUUGCUGUCACUUAUAGAUGGACCCGCGCCGUAUUAGCUAGUUGGUGGGGUAACGGCCUACCAA
rnacentral:rRNA from 1 species